rnacentral:lncRNA from 1 species
AUAGCCUUGGUGGGGGGCGUGGGCGAGGUUCGUCCGCGGGACUCGGAAUGGCACCAGACUUGGCGGGCGGCCUCCGUGUGCCAAAAAUAGGCCACGGGCACAGCCGCGCCCAAAAAACAGCCCCCGAAGUUCGGGGUCCCAAGACCCCCCAGCGGAAAAAUGGCCAAAAAACGGUGGGCUAUAGCCUUGGUGGGGGGCGUGGGCGAAGUUCGUCCGCGGGACUCGGAAUGGCACCAGACUUGGCGGGCGGCCUCCGUGUGCCAAAAAUAGGCCCGGGCACAGCCGCGCCCAAAAACAACCCCCGAAGUUCGGGGUCCCAAGACCCCCCAGCGGAAAAAUGGCCAAAAAACGGGUGGGCUAUAGCCUUGGUGGGGGGCGUGGGCGAAGUUCGUCCGCGGGACUCGGAAUGGCACCAGACUUGGCGGGCGGCCUCCGUGUGCCAAAAAUAGGCCACGGGCACAGCCGCGCCCAAAAAACAGCCCCCGAAGUUCGGGGUCCCAAGACCCCCCAGCGGAAAAAUGGCCAAAAAACGGGUGGGCUAUAGCCUUGGUGGGGGGCGUGGGCGAAGUUCGUCCGCGGGACUCGGAAUGGCACCAGACUUGGCGGGCGGCCUCCGUGUGCCAAAAAUAGGCCACGGGCACAGCCGCGCCCAAAAAACAGCCCCCGAAGUUCGGAGUCCCAAGACCCCCCAGCGGAAAAAUGGCCAAAAAACGGUGGGCUAUAGCCUUGGUGAGGGGCGUGGGCGAAGUUCGUCCGCGGGACUCGGAAUGGCACCAGACUUGGCGGGCGGCCUCCGUGUGCCAAAAAUAAGCCACGGGCACAACCGCGCCCAAAAAACAACCCCCGAAGUUCGGGGUCCCAAGACCCCCCAGCGGAAAAAGGGCCAAAAAACGGUGGGCUAUAGCCUUGGUGGGGUGCGUGGGCGAAGUUCGUCCGCGGGACUAGGAAUGGCACCAGACUUGGCGGGCGGCCUCCGUGUGCCAAAAAUAGGCCACGGGCACAGCCGCGCCCAAAAAACAGCACCCGAAGUUCGGGGUUCCAAGACCCCCCAGCGGAAAAAUGGCCAAAAAACGGGUGGGCUAUAGCCUUGGUGGGGGGCGUGGGCGAAGUUCGUCCGCGGGACUCGGAAUGGCACCAGACUUGGCGGGCGGCCUCCGUGUGCCAAAAAUAGGCCACGGGCACAGCCGCGCCCAAAAUACAGCCCCCAAAGUUCGGGGUCCCAAGACCCCCCAGCGGAAAAAUGGCCAAAAAACGGGUGGGCUAUAGCCUUGGUGGGUGGCGCCCAAAAGUUCAUCCGCGGGACUCGGAAUGGCACCAGACUUGGCGGGCGGCCUCCGUGUGCAAAAAAUAGGCCACGGGCACAGCCGCGCCCAAAAAACAACCCCCGAAGUUCGGGGUCCCACGACCCCCCAGCGGAAAAAUGGCCAAAAAACGGGUGGGCUAUAGCCUUGGUGGGGGGCGUGGGCGAAGUUCGUCCGCGGGACUCGGAAUGGCACCAGACUUGGCGGGCGGCCUCCGUGUGCCAAAAAUAGGCCACGGGCACAGCCGCGCCCAAAAAACAGCCCCCGAAGUUCGGGGUCCCAAGACCCCCCAGCGGAAAAAUGGCCAAAAAACGGUGGGCUAUAGCCUUGGUGAGGGGCGUGGGCGAAGUUCGUCCGCGGGACUCGGAAUGGCACCAGACUUGGCGGGCGGCCACCGUGUGCCCAAAAUAGGCCACGGGCACAACCGCGCCCAAAAACAACCCCCGAAGUUCGGGGUCCCAAGACCCCCCAGCGGAAAAAUGGCCAAAAAACGGGUGGGCUAUAGCCUUGGUGGGGGGCGUGGGCGAAGUUCGUCCGCGGGACUCGGAAUGGCACCAGACUUGGCGGGCGGCCUCCGUGUGCCAAAAAUAGGCCACGGGCACAGCCGCGCCCAAAAAACAGCACCCGAAGUUCGGGGUUCCAAGACCCCCCAGCGGAAAAAUGGCCAAAAAACGGGUGGGCUAUAGCCUUGGUGGGGGGCGUGGGCGAAGUUCGUCCGCGGGACUCGGAAUGGCACCAGACUUGGCGGGCGGCCUCCGUGUGCCAAAAAUAGGCCACGGGCACAGCCGCGCCCAAAAAACAACCCCCAAAGUUCGGGGUCCCAAGACCCCCCAGCGGAAAAAUGGCCAAAAAACGGGUGGGCUAUAGCCUUGGUGGGGGGCGUGGGCGAAGUUCGUCCGCGGGACUCGGAAUGGCACCAGACUUGGCGGUAGGACUCCGUGUGCCAAAAAUAGGCCACGGGCACAGCCGCGCCCAAUAAACAGCCCCCGAAGGUCGAGGUCCCAAGACCCCCCAACGGAAAAAUGGCCAAAAAACGGGUGGGCUAUAGCCUUGGUGGGGGGCGUGGGCGAAGUUCGUCCGCGGGACUCGGAAUGGCCCCAGACUUGGCGGUAGGCCUCCGUGUGCCAAAAAUAGGCCACGGGCGCAGCCGCGCCCAAAAAACAGCCCCCGAAGCUCGGGGUCCCAAGACCCCCCAGCGGAAAAAUGGCCAAAAAAUGGGUGGGCUAUAGCCUUGGUGGGGGGCGUGGGCGAAGUUUGUCCGCGGGACUCGGAAUGGCACCAGACUUGGCGGGCGGCAUUCGUGUGCCAAAAAUAGGCCACGGCCACAGCCGCGCCCAAAAAACAGCCCCCGAAGAUCGGGGUCCCAAGAACCCCCAGCGGAAAAAUGGCCAAAAAACGGGUGGGCUAUACCCUUGGUGGGGGGGGGUGGGCGAAGUUCGUCCGCGGGACUUAGAAUGGCACCAGACUUGGCGGUAGGCCUCCGUGUGCCAAAAAUUGGCCACGGGCACAGCCGCGCCCAAAAAAAGGCCCCUGAAGGUCGGGGUCCCAAGACCCCCNNNNNNNNNNNNNNNNNNNNNNNNNNNNNNNNNNNNNNNNNNNNNNNNNNNNNNNNNNNNNNNNNNNNNNNNNNNNNNNNNNNNNNNNNNNNNNNNNNNNAAGUUCGUCCGCGGCACUCGGAAUGGCCCCAGACUUGGCGGUAGGCCUCCGUGUGCCAAAAAUAGGCCACGGGCACAGCCGCGCCCAAAAAACAGCCCCCGAAGCUCGGGGUCCCAAGACCCCCCAGCGGAAAAAUGGCCAAAAAACGGGUGGGCUAUAGCCUUGGUGGGGGGCGUGGGCGAAGUUCGUCCAAGGGACUCGGAAUGGCACCAGACUUGGCGGGCGGCCUGCGUGUGCGAAAAAUAGGCCACGGGGACAGCCCCGCCCAAAAAACAGCCCCCGAAGGUCGGGGUCCCAAGACCCCCCAGCGGAAAAAUGGCCAAAAAACGGGUGGGCUAUAGCCUUGGUGGGGGGCGUGGGCGAAGUUCGUCCGCGGGACUCGGAAUGGCACCAGACUUGGCGGGCGGCCUCCGUGUGCCAAAAAUAGGCCACGGGCACAGCCGCGCCCAAAAACCAGCCCCCGAAGUUCGGGGUCCCAAGACCCCCCAGCGGAAAAAUGGCCAAAAAACGGGUGGGCUAUAGCCUUGGUGGGGGGCGUGGGCGAAGUUCGUCCGUGGUACUCGGAAUGGCACCAGACUUGGCGGGCGGCCUCCGUGUGCCAAAAAUAGGCCACGGGCACAGCCGCGCCCAAAAAACAGCCCCCGAAGGUCGGGGUCCCAAGACCCCCCAACGGAAAAAUGGCCAAAAAACGGGUGGGCUAUUGCCGUGGUGGGGGGCGUGGGCGAAGUUUGUCCGCGGGACUCGGAAUGGCACCAGACUUGGCGGGCGGCCUUCGUGUGCCAAAAAUAGGCCACGGCAACAGCCGCGCCCAAAAAACAGCCCCCGAAGAUCGGGGUCCCAAGAACCCCCAGCGGAAAAAUGGCCAAAAAACGGGUGGGCUAUAGCCUUGGUGGGGGGCGUGGGCGAAGUUCGUCCGCGGGACUCCGAAUGGCCCCAGACUUGGCGGUAGGCCUCCGUGUGCCAAAAAUAGGCCACGGGCACAGCCGCGCCCAAAAAACAGCCCCCGAAGCUCGGGGUCCCAAGACCCCCCAGCGGAAAAAUGGCCAAAAAACGGGUGGGCUAUAGCCUUGGUGGGGGGCGUGGGCGAAGUUCGUCCAAGGGACUCGGAAUGGCACCAGACUUGGCGGGCGGCCUGCGUGUGCGAAAAAUAGGCCACGGGGACAGCCUUGCCCAAAAAACAGCCCCCGAAGGUCGGGGUCCCAAAACCCCCCAGCGGAAAAAUGGCCAAAAAACGGGUGGGCUAUAGCCUUGGUGGGGGGCGUGGGCGAAGUUCGUCCGCGGGACUCGGAAUGGCACCAGACUUGGCGGGCGGCCUCCGUGUGCCAAAAAUAGGCCACGGGCACAGCCGCGCCCAAAACCCAGCCCCCGAAUGCCGGAGUCCCAAGACCCCCCAGCGGAAAAAUGGCCAAAAAACGGGUGGGCUUUAGCCUUGGUGGGGGGCGUGGGCGAAGUUCUUCCGCGGGACUCGGAAUGGCACCAGACUUGGCGGGCGGCCUCCGUGUGCCAAAAAUAGGCCACGGGGACAGCCGCGCCCAAGAACCAGCCCCCGAAGGUCGGGGUCCCAAGACCCCCCAGCGGAAAAAUGGCCAAAAAACGGGUGGGCUAUAGCCUUGGUGGGGGGCGUGGGCGAAGUUCGUCCGCGGGACUCGGAAUGGCACCAGACUUGGCGGGCGGCUUCCGUGUGCCAAAAAUAGGCCACGGGCACAGCCGCGCCCAAAAAACAGCCCCCGAAGCUCGGGGUCCCAAGACCCCCCAGCGGAAAAAUGGCCAAAAAACGGGUGGGCUAUAGCCUUGGUGGGGGGCGUGGGCGAAGUACGUCCGCGGGACUCGGAAUGGCACCAGACUUGGCGGGCGGCCUCCGUGUGCCAAAAAUAGGCCACGGGCACACCCGCGCCCAAAAACCAGCCCCCGAAGGUCGGGGUCCCAAGACCCCCCAGCGGAAAUAUGGCCAAAAAACGGGUGGGCUAUAGCCUUGGUGGGGGGCGUGGGCGAAGUUCGUCCGCGGGUAUCGGAAUGGCACCAGACUUGGCGGGCGGCCUCCGUGUGCCAAAAAUAGGCCACGGGCAAAGCCGCGCCCAAAAAACAGCCCCCGAAGGUCGGGGUACCAAGACCCCCCAGCGGAAAAAUGGCCAAAAAACGGGUGGGCUAUAGCCUUGGUGGGGGGCGUGGGCGAAGUUCGUCCGCGGGACUCGGAAUAGUACCAGACUUGAUGGGCGGCCUCCGUGUGCCAAAAAUAGGCCACGGGCACAGCCGCGCCCAAAAACCAGCCCCCGAAGGUCGGGGUCCCAAGACCCCCCAGCGGAAAAAUGGCCAAAAAACGGGUGGGCUUUAGCCUUGCUGGGGGGCGUGGGCGAAGUUCGUCCGCGGGACUCCGAAUGGCCCCAGACUUGGCGGUAGGCCUCCGUGUGCCAAAAAUAGGCCACGGGCACAGCCGCGCCCAAAAAACAGCCCCCGAAGCUCGGGGUCCCAAGACCCCCCAGCUGAAAAAUGGCCAAAAAACGGGUGGGCUAUAGCCUUGGUGGGGGGCGUGGGCGAAGUUCGUCCAAGGGACUCGGAAUGGCACCAGACUUGGCGUGCGGCCUGCGUGUGCGAAAAAUAGGCCACGGGGACAGCCCCGCCCAAAAAACAGCCCCCGAAGGUCGGGGUCCCAAGACCCCCCAGCGGAAAAAUGGCCAAAAAAUGGGUGGGCUAUAGCCUUGGUGGGGGGCGUGGGCGAAGUUCGUCCGCGGGACUCGGAAUGGCACCAGACUUGGCGGGCGGCCUCCGUGUGCCAAAAAUAGGCCACGGGCACAGCCGCGCCCAAAACCCAGCCCCCGAAUGUCGAAGUCCCAAGACCCCCCAGCGGAAAAAUGGCCAAAAAACGGGUGGGCUUUAGCCUUGGUGGGGGGCGUGGGCGAAGUUCUUCCGCGGGACUCGGAAUGGCACCAGACUUGGCGGGCGGCCUCCGUGUGCCAAAAAUAGGCCACGGGGACAGCCGCGCCCAAGAACCAGCCCCCGAAGGUCGGGGUCCCAAGACCCCCCAGCGGAAAAAUGGCCAAAAAACGGGUGGGCUAUAGCCUUGGUGGGGGGCGUGGGCGAAGUUCGUCCGCGGGACUCGGAAUGGCACCAGACUUGGCGGGCGGCCUCCGUGUGCCAAAAAUAGGCCACGGGCACAGCCGCGCCCAAAAAACAGCCCCCGAAGGUCGGGGUCCCAAGACCCCCCAGCGGAAAAAUGGCCAAAAAACGGGUGGGCUAUAGCCUUGGUGGGGGGCGUGGGCGAAGUUCGUCCGCGGGACUCGGAAUGGCACCAGACUUGGCGGGCGGCCUCCGUGUGCCAAAAAUAGGCCACGGGCACAGCCGCGCCCAAAAAACAGCCCCCGAAGGUCGGGGUCCCAAGACCCCCCAGCGGAAAAAUGGCCAAAAAACGGGUGGGCUAUAGCCUUGGUGGGGGGCGUGGGCGAAGUUCGUCCGCGGGACUCGGAAUGGCACCAGACUUGGCGGGCGGCCUCCGUGUGCCAAAAAUAGGCCACGGGCACAGCCGCGCCCAAAAACCAGCCCCCGAAGGUCGGGGUCCCAAGACCCCCCAGCGGAAAAAUGGCCAAAAAACGGGUGGGCUAUAGCCUUGGUGGGGGGCGUGGGCGAAGUUCGUCCGCGGGACUCGGAAUGGCACCAGACUUGGCGGGCGGCCUCCGUGUGCCAAAAAUAGGCCACGGGCACAGCCGCGCCCGAAAAACAGCCCCCGAAGGUCGGGGUCCCAAGACCCCCCAGCGGAAAAAUGGCCAAAAAACGGGUGGGCUAUAGCCUUGGUGGGGGGCGUGGGCGAAGUUCGUCCGCGGGACUCGGAAUGGCACCAGACUUGGCGGGCGGCCUCCGUGUGCCAAAAAUAGGCCACGGGCACAGCCGCGCCCAAAAAACAGCCCCCGAAGGUCGGGGUCCCAAGACCCCCCAGCGGAAAAAUGGCCAAAAAACGGGUGGGCUAUAGCCUUGGUGGGGGGCGUGGGCGAAGUUCGUCCGCGGGACUCGGAAUGGCACCAGACUUGGCGGGCGGCCUCCGUGUGCCAAAAAUAGGCCAGGGGCACAGCCGCGCCCAAAAAACAGCCCCUGAAGGUCGGGGUCCCAAGACCCCCCAGCGGAAAAAUGGCCAAAAAACGGGUGGGCUAUAGCCUUGGUGGGGGGCGUGGGCGAAAUUCAUCCGCGGGACUCGGAAUGGCACCAGACUUGGCGGGCGGCCUCCGUGUGCCAAAAAUAGGCCACGGGCACAGCCGCGCCCAAAAACGAGCCCCCGAAGGUCGGGGUCCCAAGACCCCCCAGCGGAAAAAUAGCCAAAAAACGGGUUGGCUAUAGCCUUGGUGGGGGGCGUGGGCGAAGUUCGUCCGCGGGACUCGGAAUGGCACCAGACUUGGCGGGCGGCCUCCGUGUGCCAAAAAUAGGCCACGGGCACAGCCGCGCCCAAAAAACAGCCCCCGAAGUUCGGGGUCCCAAGACCCCCCAGCGGAAAAAUGGCCAAAAAACGGUGGGCUAUAGCCUUGGUGGGGGGCGUGGGCGAAGUUCGUCCGUGGGACUCGGAAUGGCACCAGACUUGGUGGGCGGCCUAGCUGUGCCAAAAAUAGGCCACGGGCACAGCGGCGCCCAAAAAACAGCCCCCGAAGUUCGGGGUCCCAAGACCCCCCAGCGGAAAAAUGCGAAAAAACGGUGGGCUAUAGCCUUGGUGGGGGGCGUGGGCGAAGUUCGUCCGUGGGACUCGGAAUGGCACCAGACUUGGCGGGCGGCCUCCGUGUGCCAAAAAUAGGCCACGGGCACAGCCGCGCCCAAAAAACAGCCCCCGAAGUUCGGGGUCCCAAGACCCCCCAGCGGAAAAAUGGCCAAAAAACAGGUGGGCUAUAGCCUUGGUGGGGGGCGUGGGCGAAGUUCGUCCGUGGGACUCGGAAUGGCACCAGACUUGGCGGGCGGCCUCCGUGUGCCAAAAAUAUUGCCACGGGCACAGCCGCGCCCAAAAAACAGCCCCCGAAGUUCUGGGUCCCAAGACCCCCCAGCGGAAAAAUGGCCAAAAAACGGUGGGCUAUAACCUUGGUGGGGGGCGUGGGCUAAGUUCGUCCGCGGGACUCGGAAUGGCACCAGACUUGGCGGGCGGCCUCCGUGUGCCAAAAAUAGGCCACGGGCACAGCCGCGCCCAA